UGGUUGGCUCAUCAGUUUCCACUACAAUGGCUCUGAGCCUGCUUCUUCUUAGCAUCCUGGUCUGUAUCGGUCCAAGUUUCCAGCAACUGCAGCCUUUGAAACCUUCAGAGACGGUGUCUCUAGGGGGGUCCAUCACCCUGUCUUGCAGAUCUAGCAGUGGAACCAUCUCUAGUAGCAAUUACCCCCUAUGGGUCCAACAGAGCCCAGGGAAAACUCCAAGGACUCUUAUAUAUGACACCAGUACCAGAGUAGCUGGCAUCCCAGACCGUUUCAGUGGGUCAAGGUCUGGGAACACGAUGUCCCUGGCAAUCAAUGGGGCCCAGGCAGAAGAUGAAGCUGAUUAUUUCUGUGCUGUGUGGGCUGGGAGUGCGCGGCACAGCGAUUCAUUCAAAUGA